AAAGCCAAAGGAAGGUCCAAGCCGGUGCAGCACUUGCAAGAAACGGGUUGGUUUAACAGGGUUCAAGUGUCGAUGUGGCAACUUUUUCUGUGCAUCUCAUCGCUACUCGGACAAACACAACUGCCCAUUUGAUUAUCGCAAUGCGGCACGUGAGGCUAUAGCAAAAGCCAACCCCAUUGUCAAGGCUGAGAAGCUUGAUAAGAUCUAGAUCAAAUGGGGUGAAGUUUCAUGUACUGGAACUUGAUGAUCAUUUUGUCUUUUGAGGCUUCUGAGUUGGCCAAGUAUCUUAGCAGGUGUCCUUCUGUAUUGUUGUGUAUGGGAGAAGCAAGGCAGCAUAGGACAUCUCUCUGCAAAAUGAAGGACUCUAUAUCUUGUGAUUGGCGAGAGUUUAUAUGUUGCCUCCAGUGUUAUUAAGUCUAAAUCUGUGCUGGUUUGAUGGACUUUGUCAUGGUUAGGUUUGUACUGUGUCAUCUUGUUUCAUAUAGCAUUUCGCAGGUAGUACGUCAAAAUGGCUUGUGCAAUUUCUAGAAGAUAUAUGGAAGUCAUCCAUGGACGCUCAUGGGCGUAGCUUCG
rnacentral:misc_RNA from 1 species